CGGACGGGUGAGUAACGCGUGGGUAACCUGCCUUGUACAGGGGGAUAACAGUUGGAAACGGCUGCUAAUACCGCAUAAGCGCACGGCAUCGCAUGAUGCAGUGUGAAAAACUCCGGUGGUAUAAGAUGGACCCGCGUUGGAUUAGCUAGUUGGUGAGGUAACGGCCCACCAAGGCGACGACCCAUAGCCGACCUGAGAGGGUGACCGGCCACAUUGGGACUGAGACACGGCCCAA
rnacentral:rRNA from 1 species